AAUUUGUGUUUGUGAGUUUCAAUUGUUUUCCUGGACGGCAUCACUCAAUGCACCCAAAACAAAAAAUGAUCUUGCAACUUCUGCUUGUAUGACAGAUAUUUAAUGGUGUGCUUCUCAGAGUGAACAAGACAACUACAAACAUGUUGCAUGGGGUUGCGCCAUAUGUGACUUAUGGGCCUUGGAAAAUAUGAGAAAGUUCAAAUGGAAGAGCUGAUUCACGAGAUUAUGACUGUUGGCCCUCACUUAAAUAAGGUAAACAACUUUCUUUGGUCGUUCAAGCUGAGUGCUCCAUCUCGAGGUUUAACAAAAAAAAAAA